ACCGCGACCCCANGUCAGGCGGGAUUACCCGCUGAGUUUAA
rnacentral:rRNA from 1 species